AGACAGAGGGUGCAAACGUUGUUCGGAAUUACUGGGCGUAAAGCGCGUGUAGGCUGUCGUGCAAGUCGGAUGUGAAAGCCCAGGGCUCAACCCUGGAAGUGCACUCGAAACUGCAAGACUUGAAUCUCGGAGAGGGUGGCGGAAUUCUGGGUGUAGAGGUGAAAUUCGUAGAUAUCCAGAGGAACACCGGUGGCGAAGGCGGCCACCUGGACGAGUAUUGACGCUGAGACGCGAAAGCGUGGGGAGCAAACAGGAUUAGAAACCCCAGUAGUCC
rnacentral:rRNA from 1 species